rnacentral:rRNA from 1 species
GACGAACGCUGGCGGCGUGCUUAACACAUGCAAGUCGAACGGAAAGGCACUGAUUGCAGGGUACUCGAGUGGCGAACGGGUGGGUAACACGGGGGUGAUCUGCCCUGCACUUCGGCAUAAGCCUGGGAAACUGGGUCUAAUACCGGAUAGGAGCCACUUUCAGCGGGAUGGUUGGAAAGAUUUUUCGGUGUAGGAUGAGCUCGCGGCCUAUCAGCUUGUUGGGGGGGUAAUGGCCUACCAAGCCGGCGACGGGGAGCCGGCCUGUGAGGCUGGACGGCGACACUGAGUCUGAGGUACGGCCGAGACUCCUACGGGUGGCAGCUGUGCGGAAGCUUGAUCCAUGGGCGCCGGGUUGAUGCAGCGACGCCGCGUGUGGGAUGACGGCCUUGGUGUGGAAGACUACUUGCGCGAGAGACGAAGCUUUUUGUGACGGUACCUAGAUAAGAAGCACCGGCUAACUACGUG